UCAGCCUACGGGAGGCAGCAGUGAGGAAUAUUGGUCAAUGGACGAGAGUCUGAACCAGCCAAGUAGCGUGAAGGAUGACUGCCCUAUGGGUUGUAAACUUCUUUUAUAUGGGAAUAAAACAGGGUAUGCAUACCCUUUUGUAUGUACCAUAUGAAUAAGGAUCGGCUAACUCCGUGCCAGCAGCCGCGGUAAUACGGAGGAUCCGAGCGUUAUCCGGAUUUAUUGGGUUUAAAGGGAGCGUAGGUGGAUUGUUAAGUCAGUUGUGAAAGUUUGCGGCUCAACCGUAAAAU
rnacentral:rRNA from 1 species